GAACACAAAAUGGCGACACGUGGUUAGCAUUCGUCGCCAACGAGAAAUUGGGGUCGGCCCGAAAGCUCUAGAAUGCACCCCUAUUCCUCCCCGGGGCCAUUCCCGCUCAACGAGUUUUAUGACCUAAAAAACCCCACAGGCUGGUCUGAAGAGGAAGACACUUAAAGAUGAAGUGCUUAAUUCAAGGUCACAGAAUGUCGGGGAUGGACCUCCAGAUUUCCUUACUGGUGAGACGUGGUCUUGUAACACAGUGGUUAAGAAUGUGACUUUGGAGCCAGCCUGCUAGGGGCUGAAUUCUGACUCAGCCAUUUAUUAACUGUGUGACCUUAGAUGGAGUCUCACUCUGUAGCCCAAGCUGGAGUGGCGUGAUCUCGACUCACUGCAACCUCCGCCUCCUGGGCUCAAGUGAUUCUCGUGCCUCAGCCUCCUGAGUAGCUGGGACUACAGGUCAUAGAAUUUUCCACACUCCUUGACGGAGGUUCUUAACCCUUAUCCAUCAGCAUUCUCAGACAGCACCUCCGGUUAGGGACAGUAUCUGACCGUCCGACAUCCCUGCAGCCCCCAUGCUGUCACACAGACUCAGCCUCAGGUAGAUGGUUUCCGUAGAUGGUGGCUUUCUUUGGACCCUUGAUAUCAACCAGUUACUAUUUGGGGACCAGAUGUGCAGAGGUAAUGAAUACCAGGGAAUCAGGAAACCACUGGAUCAGUUCUUUGAGCCAUAGAACAACACUCAUCCCAGCAGCUGGGAAGCUAUCUGCAAAAGUCCAUCUGCAGAAAGGGCUUCCUGGUCUUGCGUGUGGCUGGGCCAUUUCUCUGGAUGCAGGUUUUUCAUUAUACAGUCUUCUCAAAGGACCACCUGCUCUCAACACC
rnacentral:antisense_RNA from 1 species